UACGUAGGGGGCUAGCGUUAUCCGGAAUUACUGGGCGUAAAGGGUGCGUAGGUGGUUUCUUAAGUCAGAGGUGAAAGGCUACGGCUCAACCGUAGUAAGCCUUUGAAACUGGGGAACUUGAGUGCAGGAGAGGAGAGUGGAAUUCCUAGUGUAGCGGUGGAAUGCGUAGAUAUUAGGAGGAACACCAGUUGCGAAGGCGGCUCUCUGGCCUGUAACUGACACUGAGGCUCGAAAGCGUGGGGAGCAAACAGG
rnacentral:rRNA from 1 species